CAUUUUUUAAAGAUUGUUAAGCACUUGCCAGCCAUGUUAUCAUUUUCCACUUGGAGAACAUCAACCACGGCAAAAGGAGGAAACUGUGUCAAAUUCCUACUUUGUACCAGACAUGGCUACAGAUCCACUGAGAAGAGUGAGGAGUUAAAUAUUCCAGCCUACUCAACUUGAAGACAGAUAAUGAAGAUGAGGAGCUUUAUGGUGAUCCACAUGAUCCACUUCCACUGGAUGAACAUUAGCACCAUGAAACAGAAAUGCUUGCUGAGUUAAAGGUACU
rnacentral:lncRNA from 1 species